UACGUAGGGACCAAGCGUUGUUCGGAUUUACUGGGCGUAAAGGGCGCGUAGGCGGCGUGACAAGUCACUUGUGAAAUCUCCGGGCUUAACUCGGAACGGCCAAGUGAUACUGUCGUGCUAGAGUGCAGGAAGGGGCAAUCGGAAUUCUUGGUGUAGCGGUGAAAUGCGUAGAUAUCAAGAGGAACACCUGAGGUGAAGACGGGUUGCUGGGCUGACACUGACGUGGAGGCGCGAAAGCUAGGGGAGCAAACGGG
rnacentral:rRNA from 1 species